UGGGGAAUUUUGCGCAAUGGACGAAAGUCUGACGCAGCAACGCCGCGUGGAGGAUGAAGGUCUUUGGAUUGUAAACUUCUGUUAAUUGGAAAGAAAGACUAAGGGUUAAUACCCCUUAGAGAUGACGUUACCGAUAAAGAAAGCCCCGGCUAACUUCGUGCCAGCAGCCGCGGUAAUACGAAGGGGGCAAGCGUUAUUCGGAAUGAUUGGGCGUAAAGGGUAUGUAGGCGGUUGAAUAAGUCUAGUAUUUAAUUUUCUGGCCUAACUAGAAAAAUGUAUUAGAUACUGUUCGGCUAGAGUGUGAUAGAGAAAAAUGGAAUUCUUGGAGUAGCGGUAAAAUGCGUAGAUCUCAAGAGGAACGCCAAUGGCGAAGGCAAUUUUUUGGGGCACAACUGACGCUGAUAUACGAAGGCGUGGGGAGCAAACAGG
rnacentral:rRNA from 1 species